GACGAACGCUGGCGGCGUGCUUAACACAUGCAAGUCGAACGGAAAGGCCCUGCUUUUGUGGGGUGCUCGAGUGGCGAACGGGUGAGUAACACGUGAGUAACCUGCCCUUGACUUUGGGAUAACUUCGGGAAACUGGGGCUAAUACCGGAUAGGAGCUCCUGCUGCAUGGUGGGGGUUGGAAAGUUUCGGCGGUUGGGGAUGGACUCGCGGCUUAUCAGCUUGUUGGUGGGGUAGUGGCUCACCAAGGCUUUGACGGGUAGCCGGCCUGAGAGGGUGACCGGCCACAUUGGGACUGAGAUACGGCCCAGACUCCUACGGGAGGCAGCAGUGGGGAAUAUUGCACAAUGGGCGGAAGCCUGAUGCAGCAACGCCGCGUGCGGGAUGACGGCCUUCGGGUUGUAAACCGCUUUCGCCUGUGACGAAGCGUGAGUGACGGUAAUGGGUAAAGAAGCACCGGCUAACUACGUGCCAGCAGCCGCGGUGAUACGUAGGGUGCGAGCGUUGUCCGGAUUUAUUGGGCGUAAAGGGCUCGUAGGUGGUUGAUCGCGUCGGAAGUGUAAUCUUGGGGCUUAACCCUGAGCGUGCUUUCGAUACGGGUUGACUUGAGGAAGGUAGGGGAGAAUGGAAUUCCUGGUGGAGCGGUGGAAUGCGCAGAUAUCAGGAGGAACACCAGUGGCGAAGGCGGUUCUCUGGGCCUUUCCUGACGCUGAGGAGCGAAAGCGUGGGGAGCGAACAGGCUUAGAUACCCUGGUAGUCCACGCUGUAAACGGUGGGUACUAGGUGUGGGGUCCAUUCCACGGGUUCCGUGCCGUAGCUAACGCUUUAAGUACCCCGCCUGGGGAGUACGGCCGCAAGGCUAAAACUCAAAGGAAUUGACGGGGCCCCGCACAAGCGGCGGAGCAUGCGGAUUAAUUCGAUGCAACGCGUAGAACCUUACCUGGGUUUGACAUGGAUCGGGAGCGCUCAGAGAUGGGUGUGCCUCUUUUGGGGUCGGUUCACAGGUGGUGCAUGGCUGUCGUCAGCUCGUGUCGUGAGAUGUUGGGUUAAGUCCCGCAACGAGCGCAACCCUUGUUCACUGUUGCCAGCACGUUAUGGUGGGGACUCAGUGGAGACCGCCGGGGUCAACUCGGAGGAAGGUGGGGAUGACGUCAAGUCAUCAUGCCCCUUAUGUCCAGGGCUUCACGCAUGCUACAAUGGCUGGUACAGAGAGUGGCGAGCCUGUGAGGGUGAGCGAAUCUCGGAAAGCCGGUCUCAGUUCGGAUUGGGGUCUGCAACUCGACCUCAUGAAGUCGGAGUCGCUAGUAAUCGCAGAUCAGCAACGCUGCGGUGAAUACGUUCCCGGG
rnacentral:rRNA from 1 species